CUCCGCGCACUUCAAGGAGUAAGUAUACGCUUCCUUCGGUCGAAGCAAUAAGGUCUGUUUCACUGUUGGACUCGAAGUAUCAUGGGCUCUUUCCCUUCUAACAUAUGUGUGCUCCGGACAAACACUUGUUUUCAUCGUUGAUCUCCUAAUCCUACUGGGAACUCUUAGUAGGUGGUAGCUCAUCUAAUCCUUUAGCUUCGCAGGCUUUCGUUUCUCUCUUACUGCUUUCGGUAAAACCUAUUCAAAUUCUCGUAAAUAGAAUGUAUUCGCUGAUAUCGAAAUCCGGGUUUUCCACUUUGGAUCGCUGGGUGGAGAAGAGGAAUCAACGAAAAAUCCAGGAAAGACUUUCUUUAAAAAGAGGAAUCCAGAUGGAUAGAUUGUGAAAUAGAGUAUCUCCUUCGAUUGAAACAUCAAGGAUGAAAUAGUGGACUUCUGACUCUAGGUGGAAAGUCUUUCUCAUCUACCUUU
rnacentral:lncRNA from 1 species